UUCAAGGAAGAUCCCUUUGCCACUAUAACCUCACUGCCUUAAAGUUAUCGCACUGGACUGUAACAAUUUAUGUUGCUUAUCUACGAGUCGAUUGAUUUUAGGCAGGACAGAACUAACUUUAUCAUUCUUUUAGCUUUCCAUCACCCCUGAGAGUCCAUUCACAACAGCCGUUAGCAUGUCUAAAGCAGAAAUGGUCCGCGAAGCACGAUUAUUGCGGGAACCUGUUUUUCUUGAUCCAUGGGUGGACUCACCAUUAACUAUAAGCGCAAUGUACAACCCUUACUCAAAUACCAUUAAAAUAAAUUCAGGAUUUCUUCAGGACAACGUGUACUCGCAUGGCAGUCCAAA